rnacentral:rRNA from 1 species
CCUACGGGAGGCAGCAGUGAGGAAUAUUGGGCAAUGGACGAGAGCCUGAACCAGCAAAGUAGCGUGAAGGAUGACUGCCCUAUGGGUUGUAAACUUCUUUUAUAUGGGAAUAAAACGUUCCACGUGUGGGAAUUUGUAUGUAGCUUACGAAUAAGGAUCGGCUAACUCCUUGCCAGCAGCGGCGGUAAUACGGAGGAUCCGAGCGUUAUCCGGAUUUAUUGGGUUUAAAGGGAGCGUAGGUGGAUUGUUAAGUCAGUUGUGAAAGUUUGCGGCUCAACCGUAAAAUUGCAGUUGAAACUGUCAGUCUUGAGUACAGUAGAGGCGGGCGGAAUUCGUGGUGUAGCGGUGAAAUGCUUAGAUAUCACGAAGAACUCCGGUUGCGAAGGCAGUUCACUGGACUGCAACUGACGGUGAGGCUCGAAAGUGUGGGUAUCAAACAGGAUUAGAUACCCCUGUAGUC